AUGAAAAUAAAGUUCGGUGAAGCUGAUCAGCAGAAAGAAAUAACAAUAACAAAGGAAGGCAUCCACAAGGUGUUUGGGUACCCAAACGGUACGAAAAAGACAACACCAAGGCCAAAGAUUUCCACCGAGACAAUGACCGAACUGGUCACAGAACUUGGCCUCAAGAAAAUGGGUUUCCAUCACGAUGAUCUGUUUAAAGAACUAGAAAAAUUGGUGAAACAAGAUGACGAACAAUCAAACAGGAAAUCAGUUAAAAUAUUUUUCCUUAUUUUUUUCCACAACAUUGUCUAUGGAACAACCUCCCCUACCUUCUGCAAACAAGCCAUUAUGGUCAAGGACUUGGACUAUCCAGAAAUGGCAAAGAUGGAUUUCUGCCACGUAAUCGUCGAAAGUAUUAGGGAAGAAGCAAAGACAUGGAAGAAGCACAGCUUGUUGCCCCAGGAAGAAAAGAACAAAAAGCAUCUCAAUGGUUUGGCGCAGGGACCAGUAAUAAUGUACCUCGACUGCCUGUUGCUGCCGACUGACACAAAACAAAUGCGGAAGAUUGCCAAGACAAUGGAGAAGACAUCAUUACCGCGAGCAAACCACCUAAAAGAGAGUGACCUAAGGAAAAUAGCUAGAGCAGACAUGAAAACUGACGGAAAAGCACGACCAGAUGACUAUGAAUUUGGCAAGAUACAGACAUGGAAAGGAACAGCAGAGAGGAUCUUCUAUGCCAACACAGCAACACCUUCAUAUCAACGCAGAUGA
rnacentral:rRNA from 1 species